CAACAACACGUCUACCUUCAGGAACUGGGACCCUAAUCAGCCGGAUGGAUCGGGAGAAUGUGUGACUCAACUAUUACAGGAUCCCAGACUGUGGGACGAUCAGAUGUGCAGCAUUCCCAAACCUUUCUUCUGCUAUGAGAUCCCAGUGUUUAAACAGGUUCUGAGACUGGAGCUGGGAUCGGAUCAGAAUCUGAACGAUCCUGAUGUGAAGGCGACCAUCCUCCAGGAGAUCCAGCAGAGACUGAUCUCUCAGGGAAUGUCAGAGAGCGCAAGCCUGCAGUGGAGACAGCAGCCGGACGGAAACAUCUUUCAAGAG